UCAUUCAAAGUGAGGAUUAGAGGGAACUGAAUCACACACAUCUGGAACAAAAGAUGGAUGGUUCAGUUUCUUCUAAUAUCUCACCUUGAAUAG
rfam:Leersia perrieri chromosome 8, whole genome shotgun sequence.